rnacentral:rRNA from 1 species
GACGGAGGGUGCUAGCGUUGUUCGGCAUUACUGGGCGUAAAGGGCGCGUAGGCGGCCUGUUAAGUCGGGUGUGAAAGCCCGGGGCUCAACCCCGGAACGGCACCCGAGACUGGCGGGGUUGAGACCGAGAGAGGAGAGUGGAAUACCCAGUGUAGAGGUGAAAUUCGUAGAUAUUGGGUGGAACACCAGUGGCGAAAGCGGUUCUCUGGCUCGGUUCUGGCGCUGAGGCGCGAAAGCGUGGGGAGAAAUCAGG